UACGUAGGGUGCAGGCGUUUAAUCGGAAUUACUGGGCGUAAAGCGUGCGCAGGCGGUUUGCUAAGACAGGUGUGAAAUCCCCGGGCUUAACCUGGGAACUGCGCUUGUAACUGGCAAGCUAGAGUGUGGCAGAGGGGGGUGGAAGUUCCACGUGUGAGGCAGUGAAAUGACGUAGAGAUGUGGAGGAACACCGAUGGCGAAGGCAGCCCCCUGG
rnacentral:rRNA from 1 species